rnacentral:rRNA from 1 species
AGGCUUAACACAUGCAAGUCGAGGGGCAGCAUGGUCUUAGCUUGCUAAGGCCGAUGGCGACCGGCGCACGGGUGAGUAACACGUAUCCAACCUGCCGUCUACUCUUGGACAGCCUUCUGAAAGGAAGAUUAAUACAAGAUGGCAUCAUGAGUCCGCAUGUUCACAUGAUUAAAGGUAUUCCGGUAGACGAUGGGGAUGCGUUCCAUUAGAUAGUAGGCGGGGUAACGGCCCACCUAGUCUUCGAUGGAUAGGGGUUCUGAGAGGAAGGUCCCCCACAUUGGAACUGAGACACGGUCCAAACUCCUACGGGAGGCAGCAGUGAGGAAUAUUGGUCAAUGGGCGAGAGCCUGAACCAGCCAAGUAGCGUGAAGGAUGACUGCCCUAUGGGUUGUAAACUUCUUUUAUAAAGGAAUAAAGUCGGGUAUGGAUACCCGUUUGCAUGUACUUUAUGAAUAAGGAUCGGCUAACUCCGUGCCAGCAGCCGCGGUAAUACGGAGGAUCCGAGCGUUAUCCGGAUUUAUUGGGUUUAAAGGGAGCGUAGAUGGAUGUUUAAGUCAGUUGUGAAAGUUUGCGGCUCAACCGUAAAAUUGCAGUUGAUACUGGAUAUCUUGAGUGCAGU